UCCAGCCACCCACCCCGCCCUCCCAGCGGCGCGUGCCCGCCGAGGUAGGUGUCAGAGAGCCGAAUUCGAAUUAUUUGCGACGCCCGGACGGAGUUGCGUAUCUUCGGACGAGAAAAGUGCAAAGGGAGUGCAAAGCUAGCCCUGCUCGAAGCAGCAGGCGCGCCGGUGUCACGGGAGCCGAGGAGCGGUGGCCGUGGCUGUGGAGUCGGUGCUCGAGGCGUCCUCCCAGAAGCCUAAAUGAUAUGAUGCACAUGUUACCCUUCAUUGAAGAUUCUAGUUGGACAAACAACUUGGAUAUCAACAGGGAGCAGAAAACAAACCCACUAGCAGGACCAAAAGGCAGACCCAUCAGCAGAACACAGGCGGCAGCUUCAACAAUUAACUCCAAAAUUGAAAGUCAAAUCCAGGAGAAGACUGAGGAAGCUCCAUUUUCUUUGAGCACUUAAUUGUAAAUUAAGAUUUGCUGAUGAUGAUGGGCUAAUUUAAGCUACCGUGGAAAGAGGAAAGAAAUGGAAGCUGCCGAUCGUAGGAAGCAGUACCUGUACUGCGCAGGUAAAAAUAUAAAUGAAACGAAAGAAGAAAAUCUAACUUCUCAUUCUGGAAGGCAGUGGCUGCCACAGAUCAAGAGGAUAUUGUUUUGCAGCCCCUCUUCUCCAUUAUGUAAGAAACGGCCAUUAUGUAAGACAGACUUGGGAAGGGGGUAUUAUCUCUGCUAGCCAAGCAAAUUAUAGAUUACUCCCCACCUCCACCCCCACCACCAUGAAAUCCCGAAAGAGUUAAUAGGUGAACAGCAGCAGCUUGGAAUGAUUUACUUUUUUCCUAAGGAACAUUAAAUACUGAAUUGCUCAUGCUGAAAUAACGCUACAGCUGUGAUCCGUGGGGCUGAGUUUUGGACACUGGCUCGAGUGACAGGUGUACUCGUUGUUUGCCCAGCUCGGCUGAAAUUGUGAUGCCUAACUCAAAUUUUUUCCCAAUUAACUGGUGAGGAUUCUGGAGCCAGCCAGGAAAGGGCCUUUUGCCACACGCACGGAAGACAUGCGUGCUCAGCCUUCAACAAAAAUGUCAGCCUUAGGGGAGAAUGGAGCCGUUGCUCCCUGAUAAUAAAAAUAAAAAAAUGAUGCCAGGCGCGGUGGCUCACGCCAGCACUUUGGGAGGCCGAGGCAGGCGGAUCACGAGGUCAGGAGAUCGAGACUACGGUGAAACCCCGUCUCUACUAAAAAUACAAAAAAAUUAGCCGGGCGCAGUGGCGGGAGCCUGUAGCCCCAGCUACUCGGGAGGCUGAGGCGGGAGAAUGGCGUGAACCCGGGAGGCGGAGCUUGCAGUGAGCCCAGAUGGCGCCAUUGCACUCCAGCCUGGGUGACAAACCAAGACUCCGUCUCAAAACAAAACAAAAACAAACAAACAGAAAAUGGAGAUGGACCUGCAAUGUCUAGAAAGAUGGGGAAAAGAGACAAUCUAAUUGGGACAAAGCCCUUCUAGGUUCUAAAGCAAACAGGUUUGUCCUACAAUUCAGCUCUUGGAGGAUUUUAGGGAUUGAAGCAAGUCCAGGAUUCUAGGAAAUGUGUCACCAAAAUUGGUAUUAUUAGAGAAAGUGGCACAAAGCUACAAGUGCAGAGUCUGAUCUGCAACAUGCUAAUUACAUCUAUUUUUAUCCCAGGGUUGCAGUGACCUAACACCAAGAAAUAAAAACUCUGGAAAACUAGCCCUUCACAUAUAGAAGUAUGUGAUAAACUGCUGAAAACACAUUUUCAAGGUCUGUGACUGUAACAUGAAAAAUAAAGGAUCAAGGCUGCGCUUUGAAGGUCUGAUCAUAUCUGGGCUCUGCCCUGCCUGCACCCCAGAGGGAAAAUAAGUAAGAUGGAUUUGGAACAGCAUCUGGGGGUCAUAUCAAUACCCUCUUUUGGGCUGAGCUAUUUGCAAAUAAAAAUGAACUGUGUAAGACUGAACUACAAAGGGAGACGUGCCAAGGAGCCAUUGCCCCUUCUCCUGCCUCUCCGUGUUCCCUUCCUCCCCCAUCUGCCUGGCUUUUCACUGCACUGAGAGAUCAGGAAAAAUUCCAGCCAAGAGAGUCUAAAUUGGCUAUGCACACGAGGAAAAAGAGAGAGAGAUUAUCUAGUCUCAGUUUUGGUGACUUGAAAUAAAAGGUUUGGGUUGGGGAGGGUCAGCUUUUUUUUCAAGGAACAGAAUCAUGGAAAUUUUUUCUUUUUCUGUAAAAGCGAAAUGCUUCUCAACCUUAUUUUUUGCUGGCUAGAUUGAGCUGGUUGUAACCUAAGACAAAAUGUGGGCAGGUGCCUUCAGCUUCCUCUAAAUUCUAAGAUGGCUGCAGGCACCAGACUCUGACAGUGAUGUUGCUGAGAGUCUAGCCAUAAAGAUAUCUUUCCACACGGUUCUCCCUCCACGUCUGCCUAGAAGGACUAGCCUGCUGCUUCAUUUCCCCCCUCCUCUGCAGCCGAUUUCAGAUGGCUGCAGCAGAGAAAGUGAGACCCCCACACCUUGUUUGUGUGUACCCUUCCUUCCGCGCCCCUCUGAGUGCAUUUGGGCUGUGUUGGGGUAACAUCGGGACAGGUGGUUGGCUGAGCUGAUCCUCUCAAAUAUUCAGGCAAACUGGUUGUUUAUAGACAAAACAUCCAGAUGCUUUUUCACGAUUGAACUUUUGGCCAAAUUGAUUGGAUGCUUUGGUGUCAAGAAGACAAAAACCCAAGUCAAAAAGGUCCCCAGAACAGGACAUUUGCAGGCACUGAAUAGUAGGAAGAAUUACAUAUUUCUAGCAAUGAAAAAUGUGAGUUUUUUAGAUUGUGCUAAAUGACUCGAUAUUGACCAGAGCAAAGCUACAAGUGAAAGAAUGGAUCUUUUUAAGGUUAUAUUGUUCCCAUUUAUUUGGCUUUGUGCUGCCGGAAAGUGGCUUGGAGGCUUGCUUUUUAGUGCUCUGUAAAAUGUAAAUGGUCUAAAUUAAGAAGCUAUCUAAUCUCAAACAAUAUUAAUUGUGACAUGAAAAAUGAGACCAAUUCUUCCGACAUUACAAUCACCACCACCUCACAUUAACUGAUCACCUCACUAUGUUUCUCAAAAGCCUGAAUAUUUUCCGUUUCCAAAGUGCCUAUUAUUAAGAGGAGACAAAAAUCCUCAAAUACUUUACUUAUUCUGAUGCUGAAAAUGUGGUCUCCUAAAGUGGGCUUCCUUUGGCCUCCAGGCUCUGCAAACCUCUACAUCUGAUUUGUCUCCCUCCCCCCACCCCCCCCCCGCACCCCCCCCCACCACUGCCUCUGAAUUAAAACUCUUCCUAAAAUAAAACCACUAAGCAGCCAGACAGUCAUAAAGCCAGGAUGCUGCUCCUGCAUCUCCCUCCUUCCAGACAGAACUGCCGGACCCUAAUGUUGCUUUCCAGGAGGAAUAGGGGGAAAAUGCGUUUUCACAUAUUUUUUAAGUGUUUUUCCCUAAAUGGGUCCAUUAAAAUCAGCAAGAUCACUGUUCCUCCAUCUCUGUAGCAGGCAGAAUCACCACGCAUGGAGAUAGGAGCAAAUUUGUAUUUCCAGUUGGCUCUGAUGGGGAGAUUGCAGUUGUUCUAGGGAAAGGCGAGCUCUCUAUCCCUGCAGUACUGCCUCACAAUUUCAAGACCACUGCCUCCUCCCAUAAGAUUCUGCAGAUGUUGUACUUUGCUUGUUAAACCUCUUGCUAAAUGUAAGAAAUAAAGUUGUUUUACUUGUAAAUGUCCAUAAUUCACCUACUGCAAAGCCAUAAGUCCUUGCUGUUUCAUUACCAGCUGCCCAUUAAUAACCAUCAAAUUAGAAGUGUCUCUAGCAGCAUGACAAUUUAGUGAGGGGAAUAAGAACAGAAAAUCACAAAUUGUUCAGAGAAGUUGCCGCAUAGCAGGCCUCCUGGGGCCGGGGCCCGAUGCCCCUUGGUGUUUAGUUCAAGGGCAUGGGGCUCUCUUGGGUGACAUCACUUCUAACAUAGAUACUGUGUAAUUCAGUUACACAAAAGCAGCCCAGACAAGCAGGCUCACAUCAUCUCUUGUGCUCUGCGUAAGUCUGCACCAGAGGCUCUCAACACAGCCUGUACUUCCUGUUGCAUGCCAGGAAAGGGCCCUAAAACCAAGGAGGGAGGUGAAAGGAAGCACAAAAUAAUGCACCUUCUUUGUUUUUGUUUUUUUUCCUCCCUCUCUGCUCCCUUCAUCUCUAAGGACUCCACAGCUAACCUGGACUCAUUUUGUUACUUCCCAUUCCCAGGAAGAAAGGCUUUUUCCAACUGUGAGAGUCUAGGAUUCACUUAUAUCUCUUUCUAAACACUACCAGCCCAGAAUUCUCAGGCCACUUUUGGGAGUUGUAGCAACACAAUAGGUGCCUCCUGUGGACACCAUGCCCCCAAACAGAGCAGGGAUUACCGGCAAGGCCGGGAGGUGGGAAGUCAGUGACAGCGCCAUUCUCUCGUUCUUGCUUGAGCUGACUGUAGCCUCUUAACAUCUGGUGCUCCAACUCUUUCCCCAUUCCUAAAACACAGCUGGCUUCUGCCCAUCAGAACAUCAGUCCUGGGCUUCCUGGGCUCUGUCCCUUUAUCCCGCUCUGAAGCCCUUAAGCGUCCAUUUAACCUCACACGUGACUUAGCACCUGACUUUAAAGAAAAACAUCCUUUUCAACAAUAAGGUAUGUGACCACUUGAAACCCCUCCGAGGCUUUCAAAGCCGGUGGAGCAGAGCACAACUAGGAGAACCAGCCCUGGGGUUAAAAUCUCACAGAAGGAAAGGGGGAAGCUGGCACAUAGCAGGUGGUUCCUUUGGGUCAUCCUAUUCACCAUUUGCCCCUGGUGUCUAGUCCUGGGCCCCCACAGAAUGGGCCACUGGUGCACAGGCUCAGGGAAGGGCUUCUCUCCCCCUCUCCAACUGCAUCUGUCAUUUGGCAGUGACAGCUGCUUCGCACUCUGUACCUUGGCAGCUCACAUCUCUUUCAGAGCCCCCUCUUUUCCCCCCACCACAAGCCUCCUCUGUAAAAACCGGAAAAAAAAAAAAUCUUGUUCUUUCAUCAUAAUUAAAGUGCUGUCAGGGAAAAUGGCAUGGCUGAGUUUUGCUGCUGUUGAAAUGACCCUCCUCCUACACUCCUCUUCGCUUCUCUCAUUUGCUAAAGUGGUCCUUUCUCUGCCUGAAAUCAGGCCCUUUGGUGAUGGAAAUUUUAGCUUAAAGCAGAGUUCUAAGCAGAAUCCUAACCUUGCGAGGGUGGGAGAAAAUCAAUGCUUUGAGCUGGUGUCUGUUUGCAGCGAGGUGCUGGUGAGGCCAUUUUCAUCGGGAGGAACGGUGGCGGUGGCUACUUCUGGGCUUUAGAUCCACGCAAGGUCUCCUAAAUACAAGUCACUGUCAUGGUACACAAUUUAGCAAAACUUGGAGGCUGAAUCUCCCCGUUGACUUAGCUAAGGGUCAUGAGGAAGCUAUUUAGAAAUAAGUACAGAGGUUCUGCAUCUGGGAAGAUAAAAUCCAAACGCUUCUCAUGCUCA